GUGAGGAAUUUUCCGCAAUGGGCGAAAGCCUGACGGAGCAAUGCCGCGUGAAGGAUGAAGGCCUAUGGGUUGUAAACUUCUUUUCUCAGAAAAGAAUUAUGACGGUAUCUGAGGAAUAAGCAUCGGCUAACUCUGUGCCAGCAGCCGCGGUAAGACAGAGGAUGCAAGCGUUAUCCGGAAUGUUUGGGCGUAAAGCGUCUGUAGGUUGUUUAAAAAGUAUUCUGUCAAAGAUUAGGGCUUAACCCUAGAUAGGCAGAAUAAACUUUUAAGCUAGAGUUUGGUAGAGGCAGAGGGAAUUCCCGGUGGAGCGGUGAAAUGCGUAGAUAUCGGGAGGAACACCAAAGGCGAAGGCACUCUGCUGGGCCAAUACUAACACUGAGAGACGAAAGCGAGGGGAGCAAAUGGGAUUAGAAACCCUGGUAGUCC
rnacentral:rRNA from 1 species